rnacentral:rRNA from 1 species
ACUCAAAGGAAUAGACGGGGGCCCGCACAAGCGGCGGAGCAUGCGGAUCAAUUCGAUGCAAAGCGAAGAACCUUACCUGGGCUUGACAUGUUCCUGACCACCGUGGAAACACGGUCUCCCUACGGGGCAGGAUCACAGGUGGUGCAUGGCUGUCGUCAGCUCGUGUCGUGAGAUGUUGGGUUAAGUCCCGCAACGAGCGCAACCCUCGUCCCAUGUUGCCAGCGGGUAAUGCCGGGGACUCGUGGGAGACUGCCGGGGUCAACCCGGAGGAAGGUGGGGACGACGUCAAGUCAGCAUGCCCCUUAUGUCCAGGGCUUCACGCAUGCUACAUUGGCCGGUACAGAGGGCUGCGAGACCGCAAGGUGGAGCGAAUCCCAGAAAGCCGGUCUCAGUUCGGAUUGGGGUCUGCAACUCGACCCCAUGAAGCUGGAGUCGCUAGUAAUCGCGAAUCAGCAACGUCGCGGUGAAUACGUUCCCGGGCCUUGUACACACCGCCCGU